CCUAAUUUUAUUUCAUUUGUUUAAUAUUAAAUCUUUCAGGUCUACCUUAAUAAAUUACAGUCGAAUUUCAGAUAAUUCUGUUGUAGGUACGUUUAGAAGACAACGUAAAAUUAAUACAAGACAUUUGUCUUAGACAAUGGUACCGGUACGUGUAAUCAGCAGAGUACUGACGUAGUGGCAAAUGAUGAUAAACUCUCACGAAACUAUCAAUUGUUUCCUAUUUAAAGGAGACCAAAGAAUGAAGACUGAUGGUGUUGAUUGAUUAAUUCAGAAGAACUGCUCAUGCAGGUCCUGCAUGCAUACAUCCACAUAAAGCAACCAGACCAGAGUGCUGUCCGCAGUGUGAGCAUGCCCAUGUAGAGUUACUCUUUAAUGUCUGCAAUCUUCAUAGAGAUUAUAAUUUGAUGAUGGAGUUAGCCAGUUAGAUCAUCGCUGCCGUAAAGUGAAGAUACCAGAAGCUUCGGACAUACAAGAGAAGUUAGCAAG